UACGUAGGUGGCGAGCGUUGUCCGGAUUUACUGGGCGUAAAGGGAGCGUAGGCGGACUUUUAAGUGAGAUGUGAAAUACCCGGGCUCAACUUGGGUGCUGCAUUUCAAACUGGAAGUCUAGAGUGCAGGAGAGGAGAAUGGAAUUCCUAGUGUAGCGGUGAAAUGCGUAGAUAUUAGGAGGAACACCGGUGGCGAAGGCGGCUUUCUGGACCGUAACUGACGUUGAGGCGCGAAAGCGUGGGUAGCAAACAGGAUUAGAUACCCUGGUAGUCCCUGA
rnacentral:rRNA from 1 species